rnacentral:rRNA from 1 species
GACAGAGGUGCCGAGCGUUAGGCGGAAUCACUGGGCUUAAAGCGUGUGUAGGCGGAUCGUUAAGUACCUUGUGAAAUCCCCGGGCCUAACCUGGGAACUGCAUUUGUGACUGCAUAGCUAGAGUUUGUCAGAGGGGGGUGGAAUUCCACGUGUAGCAGUGAAAUGCGUAGAUAUGUGGAGGAACACCGAUGGCGAAGGCAGCCCCCUGGGAUGUGACUGACGCUCAUGUACGAAAGCGUGGGGAGCAAACAGG